UGGGGGAUCGUCUAACGGCAGGACAGUGGACUCUGACUCCACGAGUAGAGGUUCGAAUCCUCUUCCCCCAG
rnacentral:tRNA from 1 species